CCUCCCUUGGUUGCUCUAAAAGAAGCUCUGGAAGUUUCAGGCUUGCAUGGCAAACUACAAACUGAAGUUGGUUGCGUAUGUUCUCUGCUUGUCCACUGCAUGUCUUCCACCUAAACAAAGAACACAUCACUCAGAACCCUUCCAUAUCCAUUUUACUUUCCAAAAAUCUUGAUAAUAAUAUGACAGAUCAAUGGCAAUACAAUUUAGGACAACGGGAAGUCCUUUCUGAAAAAAUAUGUUACAGACUGGAUUUCACUUUUCCAGAGUUUCAAGUAAAAACCACCUUGCUGACAAGCUGCACCAUCUAUUACAUCACCACCUAAGGGGCAGAAGGAACCGCAGCAGUUGAAAUUGUUUCACAUACAAUAAACAGCCAUCAUUGAAUGAAUGUGUCAGUUUAUUAAAUUGUGCUUUUAAAAGUCAAA